UAAGACGUGAGGUAAUUAUUCAUCGUUUAUACGUUUAUCUAUACUUUAUAUACCACAAAUAUGUAUAUUAAGAUAAGUUUGUUACAAUACGAUGAUAUUUUUUCCUUUGCGUUAUAUCUUGCAGCUUUAGUAAUUAGUUUAUCGUUGUUGACAGACAUAUGUACAGUGAGACAAAACGAUGACCGCACUGACGGCAAAUCCUUCAGAGAUGAUUGUUUAUAUCUGCAUCCUUUUUGUACAAGAGAGUACAGAAUACAUCCUGAAGCUUGUGUUGGACAGGAUUCAGUGUCUGUUGAAGCACAUGUGAAUGUGUUAUAAAGUGAGUAUCAGAAAACACAUCCAGACACAUGGCUGUCAAAGACCACAUGACAGGAACAUUCUCCUGGAGACGCUGAGAAAGCACAGAAGGAAUGUCUGUGGAGGAUGUACUCAGAAAAAACACAUACUUCAGGACACCUGCUGGAGGGGACCCGUCUACACCUUUCCUACCGUACACCUGAUGGAUACUGACUGUAAAAUGUCAAUCAUAGUCCGAGGGCUCAGUGUGGUGACAGAAGAUGGAACAAAUGUGUGUCAGUGCACCAGCCUUGAUGAAGCUUCAUAACAGCCUUCUGGAUGUAUUCUGUUUUCAACAUUGCAUAUCCACCACACCUGAGAAAGACACUGACUUUCCUUCAGAGGCACAUGGUCAACAUUAGAAGACGAGACAAGCACUGUAUGGUUGACUGGAAGUCUGUCAGGCCAGAUGUGAGGAAGACACACAGAGUGGAGCUGGAGCUCAGCAGAUGUGUGAUGCUGUAGAUACUGUGGUCUUCACAGCUUUCUAUUCAGACAAAGAGUUUGCUGGAUUCUAUUCUAUGGACUGCUACUACAGAAUGAAUGAAUGAAUUAAUGAAUGAGUGGUUUAUCUAUCUAUCUAUCUAUAUAUCUAUCUUUUUACUUGAAUUGGUGACUGAAACUGAAAGCUAAAUAAACGUUUUAGUGGAUAAAGCUGUGUCUGUUUGCUUAAUUGGUUAAUGUCACUUAAAACAAGGUUACUAAACUCUUCAGACUAAUUUUUAAAUGUAUUAGUUUUUAAUUUUUACUAAUUUUUCUUUAUCAGGCAAAACCUGGUUUUCUAGUGUAACACUUUACAAUAAAGAUUCAUUUGUUGACUGAUGUAUUAACUAAAAUUAACUAUGAGCAAUACAUUUGAUA